rnacentral:piRNA from 1 species
UACAAUAAUAACUAAAGGACUAUGGAAU